AUUGAACGCUGGCGGCAGGCCUAACACAUGCAAGUCGAGCGAGCGGCGGACGGGUGAGUAAUGUAUGGGGACUGCCCGAUAGCGGGGGAUAACUACUGGAAACGGUGGCUAAUACCGCAUACUAUCGGAUAACCCAUAUGGGAUUAGCUAGUAGGUGGGGUAAAGGCUCACCUAGGCCACGAUUUCUAGCUGGUCUGAGAGGAUGAUCAGCCACACUGGCACUGAGACACGUCCCAUACUCCUACGGAGGCAUCAGUGGUGAAUAUUGCCCAAUGGGCGCAAGCCUGAUGCAGCCAUGCCGCGUGUAUGAAGAAUGCCUUAGGGUUGUAAAGUACUUUCAGCGGGGAGGCGUUACCCGCAGAAGAAGCACCGGCUAACUCCGUGCCAGCAGCCGCGGUAAGUC
rnacentral:rRNA from 1 species